GCAUACAUUUUAUUUUAACUACAAGAAUUAGAAACUUGAGAAGUUUUUGAAUCACAAAAACUUAUGCUUUGACGAUUUGGAUGUCUCGGUCAUCAAUGCCACAUAUACACGAACUAUCAAAUUUAAUUGAGGUUAUAUUUCAAUCAUCGAUGUCCCAGAUACACAAACUACCAAAUUUAAUUGAAGUUGGAAUAUGCUUGUUGUCUCCUGUGGCCACCCAUACAAUCCAUGUCUAUUCUAUCUGGACACGAGAGGUGCUCCAUAGUGAGAUCUUUCACAAAUAAAUGAAAAAGAAAAAAAUCAAUAGAUGUUUGUUGCCAUGACAAAAUUUAAAGACGAAGAGAAGAUUGCUUCUUAUGGUUAGGAGACCGAUGGUAUUAUUUCGUUUGAAGCUUUUAUUUGAUGCACGGUGGUGUUACCAAUGUGAGAUAUUGAAAUGGUAUUAGCAUUUCCCAUUGAGAUCUCG
rnacentral:lncRNA from 1 species